rnacentral:sRNA from 12 species
GCCCUCACUUCGAACUGUGGCGUUCAUCGCCGCGUUCCCCUCACGGGGAUAGAAGUGGGGGUUUUA